UUAAGAUAAGAAGUAAUCUGGAAUCAGAAAGCACUACGCUAAGAAUCCCGUUCUGCUUCCAGAAGUGGAAGUGCUCACGGAUCGGGGAAAUCUGCAAGGCAUACCCCUGCAAGGUCUCGCUCCAAGGAAGAUUCCAGGCGUUCCAGAUCAAAGUCCAGGUCCCGAUCUGAAUCUAGGUCUAGAUCCAGAAGAAGCUCCCGAAGGCAUUAUACCCGGUCACGGUCUCGCUCCCGCUCCCAUAGACGAUCACGUAGCAGGUCUUACAGUCGAGAUUAUCGUAGACGGCACAGCCACAGCCAUUCUCCCAUGUCUACUCGCAGGCGUCAUGUUGGGAAUCGGGUAAGAUGAAAAACUGGUUUUGAAGCAGUCAACUGCCUAAAUUUACUUUUUCUUAAAGUUAGAGCUGAUUUUGACAAUAGAGCUUUAGCAGUUGGUGCGUGAGUGAAAUCUUCAGAGGCUUUUUUAGUGUUUUGAGAGAGUCUUUUAAGUUAAUCUUCCAUGACGGGGUCUGCAUUUGGGCUGCCUGUCAA
rnacentral:lncRNA from 10 species